rnacentral:rRNA from 1 species
GGAUGGACCCGCGUCUGAUUAGCUAGUUGGUAAGGUAACGGCUUACCAAGGCGACGAUCAGUAGCCGACCUGAGAGGGUGAUCGGCCACAUUGGAACUGAGACACGGUCCAAACUCCUACGGGAGGCAGCAGUGGGGAAUAUUGCACAAUGGGCGAAAGCCUGAUGCAGCAACGCCGCGUGAGCGAUGAAGGCCUUCGGGUCGUAAAGCUCUGUCCUCGAGGAAGAUAAUGACGGUACUUGAGGAGGAAGCCCCGGCUAACUACGUGCCAGCAGCCGCGGUAAUACGUAGGGGGCUAGCGUUAUCCGGAAUUACUGGGCGUAAAGGGUGCGUAGGUGGUUUCUUAAGUCAGAGGUGAAAGGCCACGGCUCAACCGUAGUAAGCCUUUGAAACUGGGAAACUUGAGUGCAGGAGAGGAGAGUGGAAUUCCUAGAGUAGCGGUGAAAUGCGUAGA